GUAUUUGGGAUUUCCAUUUAAAUCAAA
rnacentral:sRNA from 1 species